rnacentral:rRNA from 1 species
UACGUAGGAGGCAAACGUUGUCCGGAUUUACUGGGUGUAAAGGGUGCUCAGGCGGUUCUUUAAGUCAAUGGUGAAAUCUCCCGACUCAAUCGGGAAACUGCCUUUGAUACUAUUGAGCUUGAGUGCAGAAGAGGCGGAUGGAAUUUCUGGUGUAGCAGUGAAAUGCGUAGAUAUCAGAAAGAACACCAGUGGCGAAGGCGGUCCGCUGGUCUGUCACUGACGCUAAAGCACGAAAGCGUGGGGAGCAAACAGG